rnacentral:rRNA from 1 species
UUAGAUACGGAGAGGAGUAUACUGUAGAGAAAUCUGUUUAAAGUUAGUAUUGUGAAAGAGUAGGAGAUUAAGAUUUCGUGAGGGGUGAUUAUAUGGAUAGAAAUUAUUAAUUAGUGUUCUUUUUGUAUUAUGAUUUGUAAAGAGCAUAUGAAAAUUUUGUAUCCUGAAAAUUUUAGAGUGAUUCUUUUGUAUUUCUAAUGUUUCAAAAUUAGGGUAAAGAUUAGAAUGGUAAUGAUAUGUUUUUCGAGAAAAUUGAUAGCUGGUUUGGGGGGAAAUAUAUUUAAGUAUAGAUAAAAUUUAUUUAUUGAAGUUAUAGUUUUGUGUAACAUUAAUGAGAUUUUAGUUUAGAUUUUAGGGGUAAGCUCUAAGAUAAAAAGAAAUGGGAUAGUUAGUAAGUAGGGUUGAUAUUGGCCAUCUAUAAGAAGUUUUAUUAUAAAGUAAUUACAGAGAAAUUUUUGAUUAAGUACCCCUAUAUUUGUGGUAAUUAUUAGUGAAGAACUUAGUAUAAAAUCAGUAAUAGAUGUAGUAUAAAAUGAAGAUUAUCUAAAAUGAAGAGUUAUAGGUGUUGAUUCUCAGCGAAAGGUUUAUUUUUAUAAAUGUUUUUAAAAGGAAUUCGGCUAAUUUUUUUACGCCUGUUUAUCAAAAACAUGGCCUUUUGGUUUGGGUAAGUAUGAAAGGUUUGACCUGCCCAGUGGUUUUAUCUAAACGGCUGCAGUGAAUAACUGUACAAAGGUAGCGAAAUCAGUUGUCCUUUAAAUGGGGAAAGGUAUGAAAGGUUUGACGAUAAAAAAGCUGUCUCUUAAAAAUAUUAUGAAGUUUCCAUUUAAGUGAAAAGGCUUAAAUUUUUGAAAAAGACGAGAAGACCCUAUUGAGCUUGAUUAUAUUUUUUUAUUAGCGGGGAUUGAAGUUUUAUUGGGGCAAUAGGAAGCUAAAAAGAACGCUUCUUUUUAGAGUAGAGAUCCUUCAUGGGAGAAAUAAGCAAAAGCUACCAUAGGGAUAACAGCGUUAUCUUUCUUGAGAGUUCUGAUUAAGGGAAAGGUUUGCGACCUCGAUGUUGGAUUAAAAUAUCUUUUUGGUGCAGCAGCUAAAAAAGUAAGACUGUUCGUCUUUUAAAAUUUUACAUGAACUGAGUUAAGACCGGCGUGAGCUAGGUCGGUUUCUAUCUUUUUUUUAUGCCAGCUUUGUACGAAAGGAUCGGUUGGCAAUGUUUUACUUUUUUUCUA